AUUCGCCUACGGGGCGCAGCAGUAGGGAAUUUUCGUCAAUGGGCGCAAGCCUGAACGAGCAAUGCCGCGUAAACGAGGAAGGUGUUCGGAUCGUAAAGUUCUGUUGAAGGGGAAAAAGAGCGGAGAGAGGAAAUGGUCUCCGAUUGAUAUUACCCUUCGAGGAAGUCACGGCUAACUACGUGCCAGCAGCCGCGGUAAUACGUAGGUGGCGAGCGGUAUCCGGAAUGAUUGGGCGUAAAGGGUGCGUAGGCGGCCUGCUAAGUCUGGAGUGAAAGGAACCGGCUCAACCGGUACAGGCUCU
rnacentral:rRNA from 1 species